rnacentral:rRNA from 1 species
AACGAACGCUGGCGGCAUGCUUAACACAUGCAAGUCGAACGCUUCUUAUGGCUUCGGCCAUAAGCGGAGUGGCGCACGGGUGAGUAGCGCGUGGGAACCUGCCCUGUUGUGGGGGAUAACCGAGGGAAACUUCGGCUAAUACCGCAUAAGCCGGUGCUUUUGAGAGAGAGUAUCGGGAAAGAUUUAUCGCGACAGGAGGGGCCCGCGUCGGAUUAGCUUGUUGGUGGGGUAACGGCCUACCAAGGCAGUGAUCCGUAGCUGGUCUGAGAGGAUGAUC